GUUGAGUGAGAAGUAAAACCAAUAAAGAAUUGAAAAGAUGGAGCGAUGAUGAAAUAACAUACAUUGAGCUUGUUGAUUCAAGCUUAUGUUAGGAAUUAGAAUAAUACAACACAGCUUUUACUUUAGGAAGGGCAUUUUUACUUUUGAAGUGCGCUGCACCUCACCAGGAGACCCAGCCCUGAAUGAAACAACCAAAGCCGAAGCUGUUUUGGUCCUACGUAGAGAGGAAGUCGGCAACCAGAUUUGGUGCUAAGCCGUCAGCACGCAAAAGCAAUGGUUACCUUCUCCCACUUCGCUUGCUGACUCCUUGUCACUCCCCUAGGAACCAAGGCCCUAGCUUCUAGUCCUGGUGGAUCAUCCAGGCUUGCCCGCAGAACAGGACUUCGGCAAGGACAUAUGACACAUUCAUGGCAUCAAUGAAAAACCGUCACCAUUCAGGAUCCAAGGAAAUCCAUCAGUACGCUGUACAAGCAUGACACCACACGGCGGAGCUUUCUCUGGCUAUUAAUGAAUCAGAAUCAUUUGAAUCCUCUGGCAGAGAAGGGCAUGCAGAGAUGAACACAGCAGAGUUUCA
rnacentral:lncRNA from 1 species